CCUGGCUUAGAACUCGGCGCGAUCGCACCUCUGGGAAGCAGAGCCGGAGUGGUUGAAGGAGCGUUGGGGGUGAAGGGCGGGGAAUUCAGGGCAGAGAGAGACAGAGAAGCGGAAUGGGACGCUGGGCUAUCGGGGCAGGUGAAGCUGGGCAAAGGAAGCCGAACUCCCUGGCGGAGGGUGCCUGAGGAGAUUCCCGCUGUGACUGUAAAUGGAGGUGGGGGGGUGCAAGAGGAGAAGACAGAGAGACAGAGCAAGGGAGCCGCAGGGUUGCCUGGACUUAAGCUGGGACAGGCGUUGCGGGGAAGCGGCCCUGGCAAACUCGCCUUCGGCUUUGCAGCUGCUUUCCGAGUCCCGAAGUCACCCCGCCGCCCGCCUCUCAACCUGUCGCUCAAAAGGCGGGGAAGUUGGCCUGGUGUCCCGAGGCAGAGCUCCAGGCACUUGCCCGCUCUCUGUGCGGACCUCGACAAGAGGUUGGGGGACAGAAACGGCCACCUUAAGCCGCCUUUUUUCCCCACAAUAUGUUUUUUUUAAAAAACAAACAAACUGCUACAUAAAUUCCUUGUGUUUCGAAGUGCCCUGGGUUUUAAACUGCCGCGACAGGAUUUGCAGGCCUGCCUAGGGCCAUGAAGGGGCUGAAUAUUAAGUUAUGGCGACUUCUUCAUUGCAGAUCUCAAGUUUGCUAGGGUUUGCUUAGUGUUGUUGUUUUUUCCCCAACUAGAUAUGGAGGUAGAUAGAGAAAAGGGGGUCAGUCGCAUUCCACCUCUAGCCCCUUUGCUUCUACUGAAAACUUUGCUUCCUUGGUUUUCAGGAAGUGCUUAGGAGCUUUUUUAAAAGUAAGUUCCGGAGUGGAAAUGAACAAUAAUAAACAAUAUCCAGUCCCUAAACCCUGGAUGGAUCCUUCAUGUUUAGUCCUUUAUCCUCUGGUAUUUCCACAGAGAACAAUCUCUCCUGCGCAGAUUCCAAUAAAGAGCACCAUGCAGAAAGCCAGCUACUAAUUUUGCAACAGGAAUUUAUCUAUCCCUGGAGACGUUGACUCUCAGCAGGUAGCAGCACCUGGCUGACCUUGUCUGAGGCACCACGGGUUCCUGCUUGGAUGGGAGACUAACCAGGGAGUAACAAAUUUGUGGGCCAGUCUGGAAAGUCCAGAAACAUCUUGAAGUGGAUCAUGACAAGCUAUUUCCAUUGUUUUACAAAGAAAACUGCAUGAUUAUGUCCAUGAAGUUACUUUGGAAUUAAGCUCAAUUUGAAAAAAGACUACUUUUAAUGAUGUUUUGUGGAAAAUGUAAUUGAGAUUACUCUGAAUGGUAUUCAGUAAUGUGCAGUGUAUUUGUGGGCCGCAUACUUCAAGUUACUGCAUGAUUUUUUUUCGCCCUGAGAUGACUUUAUAAAUAAACAGUGAUCGUGUUGAAGAACUUACUUCCUUAUUCCUGUUCAGAAAGUAAAUAGAAUAAGCAGAGUUAUUUACAUUUGUCACAAUUUUCCCUGCACCUUCACUUCUUUUUUUCUUUUUCUUUUAACUGCUAGGUUUUCUUACAUGGUUCAUAAAAAAAACCCAUUUGAUUUAAUAAAGAAAUUGAACUAGUUUGAUGUGGUUGCAGCUUGCAGUCAUUCUAAAGAUCCAUUUUGUUAGGUUUGUUAAACAAUAACUUGUAUAUUUAAAAGAGAUGAAUGGGAGCAAUAGAUUUGUCUCACCUAAACUUCAUCAGCAGCUAAGUGGAUGAACCAUGAAGUUUUUCUGUUUGCUCCAGCCAUGUAAAUAUACCCACAAAAUUAGUGGCCUGCAAAAAUCAUAAACUGUGAUCCAUUUGUAGCAGCCGUACCAUUUCUUGGGUAUGGUGAAUGGUAUUUCUCUCCUCUGGCAGCCCACUUUAUUUCCAUGUUGGGCAUAAAUGGAAAGAUGAUCUGAUCUGUCUCUCUUCCAUCAGCCAGUUUCUUCCCCUACCUUCAAUUUAGUGUCUAUUAUUCGCUGCCUCGAGUUUGAAUGAUGACCAUUUUUUUCUGUUGCUGAUUGAACUACAAAAAACUAAUUUGUAAUGCCCAAUAAAAUAAUUUGGGACAGUUCUAAACAUGAAUACAAUAGGUAGUGGGACUUCUGCCUUUGUAGCUUUGAAGAUGGAAUGGGACCAGAAAUAAGAACAUAUUCUAUGCUCAGAAAAUAUUCCUAAUUUAAUCACAAACACUGGGAUUGUGAAGGAAGACAGCUCUGAAUGCUGCUUCAGUGACCGGUUGCAUUAAUUUGUGAUGGCACUCUAGUCAGCCACAAGUCCACUGUGUACCCUUGCAGAUUUUGUUGUCAAAUGGAAAAUUGAUGUUGGCUUAAUAAGAGUAAAACCAAUGCUAUGAACUCAAAAUACCAUCCACUGGUAUCUUGUCACUUAGCUUAUAUUUCAAAGUAAAUAAAUUGAACAUUUUUAUAGUGGCAGUGAAGCAUCUAUUCUUAUAGAUGUAGUUAAAUAUUGUAUGUCUGCUCUCCCCUCCCCCCCCUUUUUUUGUAGCAUUCAGGGAAAUCUUUUCAUUUAUUUAAUUCCUUCUCAUGUUGCUGUGCAUGAAUGAGUAAAGUUGUAGAGGAUGUUGAUUUUAACAAUCUGACUAUGUCUUUAUGAUCAUAAGAAACCACUGAAAUUUUUAUGGGUAAUAUUCACUCACCUUUGCAUCUAUAUUUCUGCAAGCUAGAUGGCCAAAACAAUAUGCUUAGUGAUACAGCCAAAUUCUUCUAAUAUGAGGCAUGAUAUACCUCUUUAAAACUUGGCUUUAACAUUAUUUUGUCUGGGUUAGAGAAAGGAAAUGUUGACAGAUACACAUUCAAUCCUAUUUCUGGAAUAAAAGCUUUUAGAGAUGAAAAUUAUUUUAGUCUAUUAUGUGGUAACUAAACCAGAGAAAGUAUUGAUUGCAUUACGUCUAAAUCGGCACCAGGGUAUCAUCACUGGUUUGGAUAUUUUCUGUUAUUUUUAACCUUCCUCUCUUGGAAGCUAACAGAACAUGCAUGGAUUUCCACCUCACAUUCAUUUUUUAAAACAAUUUUAAUAAAAGUUUUCAAAAUAAAAAUUAUAACCAACGCAAACUAGUAUAAGGAAGGAAACAGAAAAAGAAAUCAAAAGAAAGCUAAAAGUCCAAGAAAGCAAGCAAGCGAAGAAAUUGAAAAGAGGGAAAAAAGAUACAAGGAAGUAGCUUCCAAUCUUCUUUAUAGCAACUAUAACUACAAUUAUAAAUUUACUUCUUUCUCUAAAGUUACAUAACACUCUUCUAUGUAUAAUCUAUUCUGUCUAAUCGUUAAGGCCAUAAAUCAUACAUUCAUCUUUUUGUUGGUUUUAUUAUUCUCUCUUUUAUUAUUAAAAGAGAUUUUGGGUUUAUCUGUAGUUUCAUUCCAGUUUUGAAUUCAUAAAAGAUUCCUAAAUAGGCCACCUGAACUAUAUAGAUUCUAAUUUGCCUUUUCUUAGAAAAAUCGCUUCUAAUGGGGAAAAACUAGAAAAUUUCCACAUAAACAAGAUUAAGGGAAGAAUCUCAGACCCACUGAAGAUAACACUGAAAAUGUUUAAUUGUAAUUUUCUCAGAAAUUGCUUUUUCUCUACAGUUUGCAGCAGCCUGAUACUGAUUGGUUCAAAAGUCAAAGUACCUCUGGCCCCCUGUUUAAUAUUGUUUCAGCCAUGUGGAAAGAUAAGCUGGUUGGAUGGUUUUAAAAUGGGAAAUGAAGCUCGCUGGGGACAGAUGAUGUAGAUUAGACCACAGAAUAGGAAAAUAGGAACCUUGCUAAUCAGGAUAAGUGGACUGCAUAAUGCUGGUUGUGUGGGCUGAACUGAACAGUUUGUAUUCCUAGAUUCUUAGCAAAAUGUUACCAUUAACUGAGGCAAAUGUUGCAGUAUUUUCUAUUGUACCUUAAGAGCACUCUAUGUCUAUAUGGUAUCUGUAGAGGAGGAAGUUUGCAUGAUUGUUUCUAGUAUAGACUGUAGCUGGGUCAAACUCUUCUUGGAAUUUCUUUGUAUGAACCAUCCCACUGUUUACAUAACGUUAAUGCUGGGCGCCACCCAAUGACGCUGAAUUUUUCUUCCUUUAUUUUCCUGUUGCCCUUUGUGGAAGAAUGGAAACAUUAUGAAAUUAUUUUAUUCAAAAGAAAAAUUAUUUAAUAUCAGGAUAAAACUCUGGUUACUCAGUUCUACAAAUUAUGAAAAUCAAAGUAGAUUUAUAUUACCUAUAACAUUUUUUGAAUAAGAUGUAGCAAAAUAAGAUACUCAGUCAAAAAAAGAAGCUGAGAUCCACCAUCCAGUUCUUUUGAAGACUGAAUUGACACUUUCUCUCUUGAUCCAUUUUAGUUGGCUUUGUAUCAAUAAAACUUAAUCCCAGAAGCCAGCCUGAGAAAUGGACUUCUGUACAGUGCAAAAUCAAACCAUUUUCACCCGAUGCUCCUGUAAUUGAAAUGAUUUCAAGUGGGUUUUAAUUCCAGCACUUCAAGAAAUAAAAAGGCCUCCCUGCCAUCUCUCCCAAAAAGCGAAGACACGAGUCAAACUUCCCUUGGAGGAUGAAACUCAGCUAAUGUGAGGGGAGGGAAGAAUUUUAAGCCCAGACUUGAAUUUGGUUAAAGUUGCAAAAAAGCUCUCUUUAGAACAGUGUUUCUCAACCUUAGCAACUUUAAGAUUUGUGGACUUCAAGCCUCAUGGCUGGCUGGGGAAUUCUGGGAGUUCAAGUCCACAUAUCUUAAAGCUGCUAUAGUUGAGAAACACUACUUUAGAAUCAUGACUUAGGAAAAUCAAUGGAAAUAAGAGUUCCGAACCUAAUAUUAUCCUGCUCACGGCAUGUGAGAUAAAUGUGUUCACUUAAAGAACCUGCUUCAAAGUUUGCACACUCUAAAAUUUGUCAUAAUCGUGCGUGAUCCUGAAUUCAAACGUUGCACUUUGAGAUGCCUGCCUUUUAAUUGUGCCUUCUUAUUUUGUCUUGUAAUGGCUUGGUUUAAUACAGACUGGAUGUCAGGUGCAAAGGAUUGGUCCGUAUAUGAAGGGCCAGUUAAACUGAUUUAUUGCUAAUAAUGCCUAUGCACAGGGAUCUUCUCAACUAACAGGCUAGAAAAGGGUCAGUAGGAUUAAAGGGAAGUUGAACUUAGUUUGCUUGUGGCUACAUAAGGAUUCUAGGCUGAUCCCUCUUUUAACUCUGCCCCCAGGUUCUGCCAUUCCUCCUAUACUGGGAUAGUGCAUUUACUUAGGAACAUUUGAAGAAGUUUUGAAUAAGCUAAUAUGCCGUAGUAAACUAAACAUAAUGAGAUAAAAUGGCAGUUUUCCUGCCAUACUUACCCAGGCAUAAAACUAGGCAGUGAAUAUGCAAGCUCACAACCAUGGUCCAUUCUGUGAGCGGGGAUGGUUAAUGAGAUAUACGAGAUUCAUUUAGCCUAGUUUAACAUAAUGCAUCAAUGCUCAAGUGGAGUUCUGCCAUCUGGAAGAGGCCUGGAAAUAAAGCCAAAAACAAACAAAACCCAAAGUGUGGGUUUAUUUCAGGCAGAUGGAGUUUUCACACAUUACGAUGUUGACCAAAUGGAUAGCUUCUUGUCUACAGAUUCACAUGGCAGGAGUCUGUGACUGAUUCACCACCAACACUAGGUAAGUGCAGUGGUUCAUUAAGAUUGGAUUGAGAUAUACAAGUCCCCCCAAAUAUUGUUGCAGUCGCUACACGCUUUUUAAAAACUUCUCACAAAACAGAUGCACUGCUGUAAGCAAAAAAAAAAAUCCAAACAGCUGCACCCAUUAUCUUCAUUUCCCAGAGGAUAGGAAAUCUGUGAGAAUAAAAUAGAAGGAGAAAAAGAGUGCAGCUGCUUACCCACUAGUAAGAAGAGAUUGGAGACUUAAGGGGAAAAUGAACACCCUGGAGCAGGGGUCUCCAACCUUGGCAACUUUAAGACUUGUGGACUUCAACUCCCAGAAUUCCUCAUCCAGCAAAGUAAAGCAAAGCUGGCUGAAGAAAACUGGGAGCUGAAGUCCACAAGUCUUAAAGUUGCCAAGGCUGGAGACCUCUGCCCUAGAGUCCAGCAUUAUUUUAUGAGUAGGAUCAAGAAGGUCACUGUUAAGAAAAGCAAGUGGUGAUUAUCCUUCCAAGAAAGCAGCUUCCUCAGUACUCACUCCAUCAUGGCUGCACCAUAGAACAAGGUUAAGCUGUGAAUGUGAUGAUUUUGCUUCUGUUGGCAAGCUCUUUUAAUUCCCCAUGCUUCUUAAGGUAGUAUCAUCAGUAGAAAAUGUUAGUGGUGGCUGGCUCAUCUAGUCCUGUAUUAGUGUUAAUUUGGAUAAGGACCUAUACAUAGAUGGUGUGUUUGAAUCAGUGUUGACUCCUGGUGGUUGCCUGAAUGGAAUCCCUGCAAUUUUCUUGGCAAGAUUUCAGAAGUGAUUUGCCAUUGUCCCUUUCCUAGGGUUAGAAGAAAGUGGCUGGCCCAAGACAUCCAGCUGGCUUUGGGCCUAAGGCAGGAUUAGAAAUCAUGGUUUUUCGAUUUCUAGCCUGGUGUCUUAACCACUGCAUCAACCUGCCUCUGAUAUUCAUAAAUCUACCUGCUUAUUAAGAUUUACUUUUUAGGCUUGGCUGCAGUUCUCUUUGCUGAUGGAAGAGUAGUUUUGGUAGGGCAACCCCAGGACUGCGUGCUGCUUUCUCAGAGGCACUUGAAAUUUGUCCUGGUCCAAGAGACAAAUAGGGAUUCUUCUACCAAUCUGUGUUUGUGUUACAUAUUUUAUUUGUUGCCCUUUAAAUACCUUACAUUUUGAAUAUGUAUUGCUAAGUUUAUAAGCCAAUGUGAAGCAAUGUAUAACUAUUUCAAAUAAAAAUGUUCAAAACCUGA